rnacentral:lncRNA from 14 species
CCCCUCCUAACACUGGUCAGGACAGAGAUCCGUCAAGUCCAGCUGCCCUAUCCGAACAAGGAAUGGGGCACCUAGAUCUGUUUCCUCCGCCCCGUGAAUUGAGAUAAUGCUGUCACACAUAAAGCCCUACAAUUCCCUUGUUUGCUGCGUAGCUGUGCUGCUGUUCAAAAGAGAGAACAUGCGGAGAAAGCAGAGUCCUGGAACAACUUGCUCUGAGGAACAUAUAUUGCAGUUUUAUGCUAUGACAUGUUACUAUUAAGAUGAUGACAAAAAGAACUGGGAACACUUUUUUGGAGUAAGCUGUUAGAUGCAAAGCCUACAACCCAUACUACACAAUUCCUUAAUCCAUCUUGGCAAACAACUAAUUCC